CGAGAAAAUCCUGGUUAAAGCCAGAAUGAAGAGUUUUCUUGUAUACCCAGUGAAGAAUUCAUAAACCCAUUCCUAAAUUUAGGCAAAAACUGUAUCCUGAAAACAGAAUGGAAGAGUGAAAAUCUCAUAGUAUGUUUGAAAUUGUGAUUGGCUAAUGGUAUCCAUGAAGUUUUUUUUUUUUUUGAGACUGUAUUAAAAAUGAAACAAAACUUGAGCACACUCAUUUCUAUAGAUUCGUUAUCUAAGAAAAAAAAAAAUUGUCUUGUGUCAACCAGUGGGACCCAUCAUGAGAAAAAGAAAAAAAAAUAGGGUAGGAUAUUUACAAAGGUAAAGAUGAGGUCACAGUGUCCCCAGAAAUCUCUGAUGUGUUCCAUGUGGAAAAAAGCUUUUUUCUCACCCUGUCCCUUUUUUGCUCUUCUAGGCUGCUUUUCCCUCCCAACCCAAUUUUAACUGCUCUUUGUGGAAACAGAUUUCACAGUCUACAGAAUAAAUGGAAGCAUAGCAUAUGUAGGCCUAGAGACAACUUUCCCUGUCUUAGUUCCUUGGCUCUAAUGCCACAGACAACUGUUGCCCCCAUCCCUGGCUAUGGACAACUACUGCUGAAAAUUUCUCUACUCCUCUUCCAAAAGUGAUUCUCUCCUGCAUUUCUGGAUUCCUAAAUUCUGUAUAACUCCCUCAAGUGGUUUUGUUUUUGUUUUUUAGGACUACAGGUAUGGCAUAUGAAGGUUCCCAGGCUGGGAGUUGAAUCAGAGUUGCAGCUGCGAGCCUACGCCAUACCUACAGCAACACCAGAUCCGAGCUGAGUCUGUGACCUACAUCACAAUUCAGGGCAAUGCCGGAUCCUUAACCCACUGAGAGUGGGUUAAGGAUCCUGCGUUACCCUGAGCUUCAGUGUAGGUCACAGACGUGUCUUGGAUCCUGCAUUGCUGUGGCUGUAGUGUAGGCUGACAGCUACAACUCCAAUUUGAUCCCAGGCCUGGGAACUUCCAUAUGCCUCAGGUAAGGCCCUAAAAAGCAAAACAAACAAACAAACAAAACCACCAUUGAUUUAAUAAGUGGAUACCUAGGGUUAAUAUCAGAAGAGUGGCCAGUUUUGCUUAAGAGAAGGUACGCAUUGUUUGGGGUGGGCUGGGAGUGGAGAGUCUAAUGUUUUUCUAUAUCUGGAGGUUUUGACUGUUUCUAACCUUUCAGAGAUCCUGUUCAACACUUGAGUGUACUUUCUUAGAGUCAUGGGUUAAUUAGGUAAAGUGGAGAUGACACAGGAGGUAUUCUUCAGAUUUUUGAGGCUGAAGUGGACACAUUUGGAGAGUGAAUGGUAGGUAAUGGGAGGUGAUGGCACGUAUCAGAUAAUAUUCCCUGAAUUGAAGGAUAGGGCUGCACUACAUACAUCUUGAAUCUUUCAGAGGGGGUUAAUAAUUAAUAAUGAGGUUCAGUUUGGUCCUGUGUAGGGAGAGAUGUGGGAAUAAAAGAGGGCAUGGAGCCCACGGUGUGGCAUGCUGAAUGAUGGAGAUUUUGCCAGGUUGUUCAAGAUCACUACUGGCUGUUUCGCAGGGACCUGGAAGAGGCUGCCUUAUCACAGUGAUCUGCAAACAUUUAUUAGGAACCAAUUGUAUGUGAGAUGCUAGAUACUGGAUUCUGCAUCUAGGUAUUAAAGAUACAAGAUUUUGUUCUGAAAGGAACUUUUUGGUCUGUUUCCUCUGUUGGCUCUUCCAGAAUCACACAAGGAAUGCCAGAAGAAAGGAAGGUACAGAAAAGAAGGACAAAGGGAAACAGAGGUUAGGAAAAGGCUUUGUGUCUUUUCAUUUGAAGCAUUCUUAGGUAAGUGCUGCCCACCUAGUGGUGUAGCAAGAAUUGGGGAGCUCACUGGCCCACUAGCCUCCACAUUUCCCACUGUCCCUCAGCCUGCCCCACUCAUGUUCUCACCCAGCCUCGUGACAUGGCAGUGUUUUAAAUAAUAGACUAUGGGUCUGUUUUGAAUCCUGACCCUCCACUUCCAAGCAGCGUGACUUUGAGUAACUUAGCCUCUCUGAACUUUAGCUUCCUCAGCCAAAAAAUGGGAAUAAUAUUAGCACCUAUCUCUGGGUUUUAUUAUGGUUUAGUAAUAUAAUCACCUGAUGUUAAUAUCACCAUCAUUAUAUUUGGACAGUACUUUCCGUGUAUCUGGCACUAUACUAACCGCUAUAGAGGAAUUUUCUUGCCUAGGAUUUUAAUGCAUUUUAAAAAGAAUUAACACAUUAAGUCACUUGAUAAACCAAAGACUCAUCUUCUACCCAAAGCAGUGCAUUAUUGGCAGUAGAAUUCUAGGUGGGCGAUUUAGGGAUAUAUGAGAUGUUUGUAAGAAGAGCUUCCCAAAUGUUCAUAGCUUUGCCUGGCAGGCAGGGCUUUCCCCUUCAUCCUUGGGCAGAGCCUUGGCAAGAAAAUGGAUGAAAGAAAGAGCAUGCCAGAAACCCUCAUGCGAGACAGACUCGAGCUUGGAGGUAUUGACGAUUCUCUAUCUUGUAGGGAGUGCAGAGCUGCUGGUAAAAUGCCCUGCACCAUUCUCUCCCUAGCCAAGCAGGAUCACGUCCCUACAUCAGCCAACCUUUUGCUUUUGAACUCUUGCCUCCCCUCCUUCCUCCCAACCCAAUUUUUUUCCAGGAAUUCAUGAGCCAGUAAUUUUCUUUUUAAGUCCAGGAUUGGCAAAGGACUGAUAUUUAAAAAAAAAAAUUUAAUAUCAUUCCUUAGUAAAAAAAAAAAAAAAUGCUGCUUAUCAUCACCAUAAUUUCAUUUCUAAAGUAAGAACAGAAUAAGCAGCUUUAUAAAAAAUUCCCGUCUUUGACCAGACUUGACCUUGGUCCUGGGUGUGUGUGUGUGUGUGUGUGUGUGUGUGUGUGUGUGUGUGUGUGUGUGUAGGAGUAGGGGUGAGGGUAUUUGCUACUCAAGAAUCCACUCUCAGGAGUUCACACUGUGGCUCAGGGAAACGAAUCUGACUAGUAUCCAUGAGGAUGCUGGUUUGAUCCCUGGCCUCUCUCAGUGGGUUAAGGAUCUGGCAUUGCUGUGAGCUGUGGUGUAGGUCACAGACAUGGCUCGGAUCUGGCAUUGCUGUUGCUGUGAUAUAGGCCAGCAGCUACAGCUCUGAUUUCGACUCCUAGCCUGGGAACCUCCAUAUGCUGUGGUUGCGGC
rnacentral:lncRNA from 1 species